GAUGAACGCUAGCUACAGGCUUAACACAUGCAAGUCGAGGGACCGGCGCACGGGUGAGUAACACGUAUCCAACCUGCCCUUUACUCGGAGAUAGCCUUUCGAAAGAAAGAUUAAUACCCGAUAUACAGGAUGGGGUGGCGUUCCAUUAGGUUGUUGGUGAGGUAACGGCCCACCAAGCCUUCGAUGGAUAGGGGUUCUGAGAGGAAGGUACCCCACAUUGGAACCGGGAAACGGGCCCAAGUGCUACCGGAGGGAGGAUUUAGGAAUAUUGGUCAAUUGGCGGUAGCCUGAACCAGCCAAGUAGCGUUGAGGAUUAAGGGUGAAGGGUUGUUAAAUUCUUUUAUAUAAGAAUAUGUAUUAUAUUAAUAAGGAUCGGCUAACUCCGUGCCAGCCGCCGCGGAAUUC
rnacentral:rRNA from 1 species